rnacentral:rRNA from 1 species
CCUACGGGUGGCAGCAGUGGGGGAUAUUGGACAAUGGGGGGGAACCCUGAUCCAGCGACGCCGCGUGAGUGAAGAAGUAUUUCGGUAUGUAAAGCUCUGUCAGCAGGGAAGAAAGCAAUGACGGUACCUGACCAAGAAGCCCCGGCUAACUACGUGCCAGCAGCCGCGGUAAUACGUAGGGGGCAAGCGUUAUCCGGAAUUACUGGGUGUAAAGGGAGCGUAGACGGCUGUGCAAGUCUGGAGUGAAAGGCGGGGGCCCAACCCCCGGACUGCUCUGGAAACUGUAUGGCUGGAGUGCAGGAGAGGUAAGCGGAAUUCCUAGUGUAGCGGUGAAAUGCGUAGAUAUUAGGAGGAACACCAGUGGCGAAGGCGGCUUACCGGCGCCCAACUGACGCUCAGGCACGAAAGCGUGGGUAUCGAACAGGAUUAGAUACCCGGGUAGUC